AUAUAUAUAUAUAUAUAUGAUCUAGGUAUAUAUUAUUUAAUUUUAAACUGUAUUACAACUUUAUUGAACUUUAUUUCAGGUAGCCGGGGGACUAUCUGUCAUUCCAGGCUGUCCUACUGCUGGCACUGCUAUGGACCUCUCGAUCACAUGGUCCAGGAGGGUCGGAUCAGCAUCAGGGGGACUCCCUCGGAUGCCAGGCAAGUCCCCCCAUCGCGAUUGCCGGCGGGGGCUCGCCAGCGAGUAGGUAAUUCCCCUGGACGUCAUGGACGUGCUAUGCGAGAGUUCAUUGCGGAAGCCGCAAAGACCAUGUUUCUGCA